rnacentral:RNase_P_RNA from 1 species
UAACCCGGAUGAUCGCUAGGCAUGCCUAGAGGAAAGUCCAUGCUCGCACGGGCUGUGAUGUCCGUAGUGUUUGUGCUAACGGAACGAAUAACGUUAGGCAUAUGGCAACAUAUGACGGCGGUCCCUCCCCUUACCGCAAGGUUGGGCGAAACCUGAAAGUGCCACAGUGACGAAGCUAGUUGGAAACGACUAGGUGCAACGAGGCAAACCCCACGAGCGAGAAACCCAAAUUUGGUCGGGGAAGGAGGAACCAUUAACCGAAGUGGAACCUUCCUAUCGCAAGAUAGAGAUAAAUGAUCAUCGAUUACAGAACAUGGCUUACAGGG